GCCUCUGUAGUCUAAUUGUUAGGACACUUGCGCGUAAAGCAAGGUAUUCGGGUUCGACUCCCGGCCGAGGUA
rfam:Cyphomyrmex costatus contig16382, whole genome shotgun sequence.